rnacentral:lncRNA from 1 species
UUUGGUUUUGAGUGAAAUUCGAUUUAGGAAUCAUGUGAAAGAAACAAGGACUUGGUUUUUUUUUGUGGGCAAAGAUUGUGUUUCUGUAGUAAAAAAUAUGAGAAGGGAGAAAAAUAAAGGUGAAGAAGAAAAGGAAAAUAAAGAAAUGAAAAGAAAAAAUUAAAUUGUUCAAAAAAGUAUAGUGACUAGUUUUAACAAAUGAAAAAAAAU